rnacentral:tRNA from 1 species
CAAAUUUGAGCUUGAAAGAAAGCAUUUUAUUUACAUUAAAAAGUUAUCGUGCAAUUCGAUAAAUUUGA